rnacentral:rRNA from 1 species
AUGGCGACCGGCGCACGGGUGAGUAACACGUAUCCAACCUGCCGAUAACUCGGGGAUAGCCUUUCGAAAGAAAGAUUAAUACCCGAUGGUAUAAUUAGACCGCAUGGUCUUAUUAUUAAAGAAUUUCGGUUAUCGAUGGGGAUGCGUUCCAUUAGGCAGUUGGUGAGGUAACGGCUCACCAAACCUUCGAUGGAUAGGGGUUCUGAGAGGAAGGUCCCCCACAUUGGAACUGAGACACGGUCCAG